rnacentral:lncRNA from 1 species
AGCAAAAGAAAAACUUGUGUUGUAUAUGAUCUUCACAAGAUCCCCAGAAUCUACCUGUGAAUUUACUUUAAGAAAAAAAAUAGAAUCAGGAAUUUGGUGUUCUUACCCUUGGUCCUAUGUAUACUCUCAUGAGUGAUAGAUCAGGAUGAAGACUUUCAGAUAUGGAGUCUUGCUCUGUUGUCAGGCUGGAGUACAGUGGCAUGAUCUUGGCUCGCGGCAACCUCCACCUCUCAGUUCAAGCAAUUCUCCUGUCUCAGCCUCCGGAGUAGCCAGGAUUACAGGUCCUAAGAAUGGAAUUCAGGAGUGGACAAGACAUAACUUUUGCCAUGAAGCAUCUCAUCACACAAUGGAGUCUUGCUCUGCCACCCAGGCUAGAAUGCAGUGUCACAAUCUUGUCUCUGUGCAAACUCCGCCUCCUGUGUUCAAGGGAGUCUCCUGCCUCAGCCUCUGGAGUAGCUGGGAUUACAGGGCUUGUCAAAAUCCUACUCUUUUACUCACCUUACCAACACUCGGAGGCAUGACUUAUGUCUGAAACAAAACUACAAGAGCCAGUGUUUAUACACAAAAAUCUUGGAAUACUCUUGUUUUCAUUUCUUCUGUUGCAGCUUUUCUGGGAGCACCACUGUCUUCCAAAAACAAAUAAAAUGACUAAGAUUACAUUAAUUUGCAUUUCAUUACAUAAUCUGUUGAGAAAAUGGAAC